GUGGGGAAUAUUGGACAAUGGGCGAAAGCCUGAUCCAGCCAUGCCGCGUGUGUGAAGAAGGUCUUCGGAUUGUAAAGCACUUUAAGUUGGGAGGAAGGGCAGUAAGUUAAUACCUUGCUGUUUUGACGUUACCGACAGAAUAAGCACCGGCUAACUUCGUGCCAGCAGCCGCGGUAAUACGAAGGGUGCAAGCGUUAAUCGGAAUUACUGGGCGUAAAGCGCGCGUAGGUGGUUUUGUAAGUUGGAGGUGAAAUCCCCGGGCUCAACCUGGGAACUGACUCCAAAACUGCAUGACUAGAGUACGGUAGAGGGUAGUGGAAUUUCCUGUGUAGCGGUGAAAUGCGUAGAUAUAGGAAGGAACACCAGUGGCGAAGGCGACUACCUGGACUGAUACUGACACUGAGGUGCGAAAGCGUGGGGAGCAAACAGGAUUAGAUACCCUAGUAGUCC
rnacentral:rRNA from 1 species